AAUUUCCUAACACAAUAACUUUCUUUUUUAGGUCAAAUGGUUGACUUCCAGUCUCCAUGGAGACUAUCAAUUAUUCCAGAGAUUUUUUGGGGAAUCAUCAAUUUUAUUGUUUUGUUCUUUAGAACUUUAAUAUCUCCAUCCAUGACAAAGCAUGGUAAUUCUUACACAUCAGACUACAGAUCAGGGGGACAAAGACCCCAUCCACACCCGAGGAGAAGAAUGGGAGGAUUUAGAGGAGGUGGUGGAGGUA